ACGAAGGGGGCUAGCGUUGUUCGGAAUUACUGGGCGUAAAGCGCACGUAGGCGGGUAUUUAAGUCAGGGGUGAAAUCCCAGAGCUCAACUCUGGAACUGCCUUUGAUACUGGGUACCUAGAGUAUGGAAGAGGUAAGUGGAAUUCCGAGUGUAGAGGUGAAAUUCGUAGAUAUUCGGAGGAACACCAGUGGCGAAGGCGGCUUUCUGGUCCAUUACUGACGCUGAGGUGCGAAAGCGUGGGGAGCAAACAG
rnacentral:rRNA from 1 species